GACGAACGCUGGCGGCGUGCUUAACACAUGCAAGUCGAACGGAAAGGCCCUGCUUUUGUGGGGUUCUCGAGUGGCGAACGGGUGAGUAACACGUGAGUAACCUGCCUUUUACUUUGGGAUAACUUCAGGAAACUGGGGCUAAUGCCUGAUAUUAGCGCCUGCUGCAUGGGGGGGGUUGGAAGGUUUCGGCGGUUGGGGUUGGACUCGCGGCUUAGCAGCUUGUUGGUCGGGUAGUGGGUUACGAAGGCUUUGACGGGUAGCGGGCCUGAGAGGGUGACCGGCCACACUGGGACUGAGACACCGGCCGGCCUCCUACGGGAGGCAGGAGUGGGGAAUGUUACCCAAUGGGAGGAACGCUGAUGGAGCAACGCCGCGUGUCGGAUGACGGCCUUCGGGUUGUAGACAGCUUUCGCCUGUGACGAAGCGUGAGUGACGGUAAUGGGUAAAGAAGCACCGGCUAACUACGUG
rnacentral:rRNA from 1 species